ACUCCUACGGGAGGCAGCAGUGGGGAAUAUUGCACAAUGGGCGCAAGCCUGAUGCAGCCAUGCCGCGUGUAUGAAGAAGGCCUUCGGGUUGUAAAGUACUUUCAGCAGUGAGGAAGGCGGAGUCGUUAAUAGCGGCCUCGUUUGACGUUAGCUGCAGAAGAAGCACCGGCUAACUCCGUGCCAGCAGCCGCGGUAAUACGGAGGGUGCGAGCGUUAAUCGGAAUUACUGGGCGUAAAGCGCAUGCAGGUGGUUUGUUAAGUCAGAUGUGAAAGCCCGGGGCUCAACCUCGGAAUUGCAUUUGAAACUGGCAGACUAGAGUCUUGUAGAGGGGGGUAGAAUUUCAGGUGUAGCGGUGAAAUGCGUAGAGAUCUGAAGGAAUACCAGUGGCGAAGGCGGCCCCCUGGACAAAGACUGACGCUCAGAUGCGAAAGCGUGGGGAGCAAACAGGAUUAGAUACCCUGGUAGCACAGAG
rnacentral:rRNA from 1 species